rnacentral:tRNA from 1 species
UCCCUGGUGGCUUAGACAGUAAAGAAUCUGCCUGCAAUGUAGGAGACCUGGGUUCAAUUCCUGGGUCGGGAA